rnacentral:tRNA from 1 species
GGGCGAUUAGCUCAGUUGGUUAGAGCGCUUGCGUGACAUGCAAGAGGUCACAAGUUCGAGUCUUGUAUCGCCCACGA